rnacentral:rRNA from 1 species
UAAUACGGAGGAUCCGAGCGUUAUCCGGAUUUAUUGGGUUUAAAGGGUGCGUAGGCGGACUAGUAAGUCAGUGGUGAAAUCCUGCAGCUUAACUGUAGAAUUGCCGUUGAUACUGUUAGUCUUGAGUACAUUUGAGGUAGGCGGAAUGUGGUGUGUAGCGGUGAAAUGCAUAGAUAUACCACAGAACACCGAUUGCGAAGGCAGCUUACUAAACUGUAACUGACGCUGAGGCACGAAAGCGUGGGUAUCAAACAGG